UAUAUGAAUUUUGAGAUAUGAGUGUGUGACGAUUCAUUGCUUUCUGCAUGCUUAAGAAUCAAGUACUAGGAAACUUGAUUCCAGAUUUUAUUGUUACAGCAAGAGUAUAACUAGCUCACUGGUGACACUGAGGUGAGCGUGGAGGAGCCUUGCCGAAGAAGAAGGGUUGUUCUUCAUAGAGACCGACUCUACCAAUGUGAUGGAGGCAUUAGAGAUCUAUGACAAGGUCAUCCUCAAUUCGGACUCGUACAAGGUGGACCUGUUGGUCAACUGAGUCAGCCUAGCCAACGAAACAGCACAACGGCAUAAUGCCUUGCUGCUCGAGAUGAGUUUCAGAGUAUUUUGCUUUUACGAAAGGAUCUCUUUGUUCUUGUUUUUUUUAUCAUUCAUAAAUGAAUAGAAUCUUUUUGUUCUAUAUAUCUUCUUCUUGAGUUUCCUUUUGCAUUAUUAUAACACCUCAUAUUUUCCACAAUAUGAUUUCGUAACAUGGAAAUGAAGUGUAUUGUAUGAAAUAAUCCUAUGAUAAAGUGUUACACCAUAAUUAAAGUUCA